rnacentral:lncRNA from 1 species
CUCAACAAAACUUUUCCUAGACUAUGUAGCAAAAAACACCUUUGGUUACCUGAAUGGACAGUUUUGGCCAGAAAUGGUGAGAAGAAAAAGCAUGAAGAAGCCGCGAAGUGUGGGGGAGAAAAAGGUGGAGGCGAAGAAACAGCUCCCGGAGCAAACUGAACAAAACCUCGCCAAGAGUGUCUGGAGGCAGGACCGUUAUUCCUGCCGAGCAGGGGAGAGAAGAGAGACCCUGAAACACGCGCCACCUAUCUUUGUGGGGAGGGAUAAUUGAAGCGCCCUGAGCAUGCCAGAGCUAGGGGAGGGAAAUGCUACUUGUACACUGCAUCUUAGGAUCUCAGUGUGCAGUGUAUGUGUGUAUGUGUGUGUGUGUGUGGGGGGGAGAUUUUCUGGAUUGGAUCCCUAUAUUAAAAGUUUGGCAUUUUAAUAAAGGGUCUCUAGGUUAA